rnacentral:rRNA from 1 species
CCAGACUCCUACGGGAGGCAGCAGUGGGGAAUAUUGGGCAAUGGGCGCAAGCCUGACCCAGCAACGCCGCGUGAAGGAUGAAGGUUUUCGGAUUGUAAACUUCUGUCGCGAGGGACGAAGAAUGACGGUACCUGACUAAGAAGCCCCGGCUAACUACGUGCCAGCAGCCGCGGUAAUACGUAGGGGGCAAGCGUUAUCCGGAUUUACUGGGUGUAAAGGGAGCGUAGGCGGUGCAGCAAGUCAGAAGUGAAAGCCCGGGGCUCAACCGCGGGACUGCUUUUGAAACUGUUAAGCUUGAGUGCAGGAGAGGUAAGCGGAAUUCCUAGUGUAGCGGUGAAAUGCGUAGAUAUUAGGAGGAACACCAGUGGCGAAGGCGGCUUACUGGACGGUAACUGACACUGAGGCUCGAAAGCGUGGGGAGCAAACAGGAUUAGAUACCCCCGUACUA